rnacentral:rRNA from 1 species
CCUACGGGUGGCAGCAGUGGGGAAUAUUGCGCAAUGGGCGAAAGCCUGACGCAGCGACGCCGCGUGAGGGAUGAAGGUCUUCGGAUCGUAAACCUCUGUCAGCAGGGAAGAACGGUCACUGUGCUAAUCAGCAGUGAAUUGACGGUACCUGCAAAGGAAGCACCGGCUAACUCCGUGCCAGCAGCCGCGGUAAUACGGAGGGUGCGAGCGUUAAUCGGAAUUACUGGGCGUAAAGCGCUCGUAGGCGGUAUGUCAAGUCAAGGGUGAAAUCCCCGCGCUCAACGUGGGAACUGCCUUUGAAACUGGCAAACUGGAGUGUGUGAGGGGAUAGUGGAAUUCCAGGUGUAGGAGUGAAAUGCGUAGAUAUCUGGAGGAACAUCAGUGGCGAAGGCGACUAUCUGGCAAAUAACUGACGCUGAGGAGCGAAAGCGUGGGUAGCAAACAGGAUUAGAUACCCUAGUAGUC